AGUGGAAUUGCUGGGUCAUAUGGUAACUAAGUUUUUGAGGAAUCACCAAACUGUUUUCCAGAGUGGCUGCACCAUUUUACAUUUCCACUAGCAAU
rnacentral:pre_miRNA from 1 species